GGCUUGCUGUGGCCCCAUCUGGGAGAGUUGAGCCCUGGUCCAGCCCCGCGCAGGAAGGGAGGCUGUAACCGUGCCAGCCUGCUGCAGCUGCAGUGAUGUUUUCCUGUAUGAGACAAACAAAGUCGCCCGGAUCCAAAGCAUCAAUUAUGGCACCAUUAAGUUCUUCCACGUGAUCGUCUUUUCCUAUGUUAGCAAGGAACAUUUGAAAAGGAAAUUGGAAAAAUAAUUCCAUUUACCAUAGCAUUUAAGAGAGCUGAGGCUGUGGAGCCAGAUGGCUGCGUUCAGAGCUGGCGCUGCUGUUUACCAUGUGACCUUGGACAAGCUUCUCGCUUCAUUCAUACCACAGUUUGUUCGGCUAUUAGGUGGAGGAGCUGUAAGGGGGAGAGGAACUUUGCUGAAAGGCACAUCCUCCCUGCAGAGCUUGAAGAACAAUCUAACCAUGCUGGCAUGGGGCCCAUCCUACCUGCAAUGCCAAGGUAAGUCUGCGAAAGUCACUUAUAUUCAGAGCAUGUGGAUUGGGACUCUGAAGAACAACUUUAUGGUGGACACCUUCGUCUCCAUCUGGUGAGUCCAGCACAAGCAGCCUGAGGGUUCCAUGGGCUCAACCUCACCCUCCAUCCUUAUUUCCCUGCCACUCCAGGGCUCCUCCUCAUCCAGACUUGCCUGUGAGUGCCCCUUGAUGGAUGUAUUUGUCUGUUCUCAUGCUGCUAAUAAAGACAUAUUCGAGACUAGGUAAUUU
rnacentral:lncRNA from 10 species